UGAAUUAGCAAUGCCAAGAGAGG
rnacentral:piRNA from 1 species